GGCGGUGUGUGGGUGCUAUUGUGUUUGUUUGCGGCAUUGCACCUGACCGAGGUGGAGUUUGUAUGCAGCCGUCUCUGGCAUACGCUGCAGGUGUAAAUUACUGGCCCUGGGUGAGACUCCAUACCAGCCCUGAGCAGAAGG